CGCGUGUGUGAAGAAGGCCUUUUGGUUGUAAAGCACUUUAAGCGGGGAAGAAGACCUAACGGUUAAUACCCGUUAGGGAUGACAUUACCUGCAGAAUAAGCACCGGCUAACUCUGUGCCAGCAGCCGCGGUAAUACAGAGGGUGCAAGCGUUAAUCGGAAUUACUGGGCGUAAAGCGAGCGUAGGUGGCUUGAUAAGUCAGAUGUGAAAUCCCCGGGCUUAACCUGGGAACUGCAUCUGAUACUGUUAAGCUAGAGUAGGUGAGAGGGAAGUAGAAUUCCAGGUGUAGCGGUGAAAUGCGUAGAGAUCUGGAGGAAUACCGAUGGCGAAGGCAGCUUCCUGGCAUCAUACUGACACUGAGGUUCGAAAGCGUGGGUAGCAAACAGGAUUAGAUACCCUGGUAGUCCACGCCGUAAACGAUGUCUACUAGUCGUUGGGUCCCUUGAGGACUUAGUGACGCAGCUAACGCAAUAAGUAGACCGCCUGGGGAGUACGGCCGCAAGGUUAAAACUCAAAUGAAUUGACGGGGGCCCGCACAAGCGGUGGAGCAUGUGGUUUAAUUCGAUGCAACGCGAAGAACCUUACCUGGUCUUGACAUACACAGAAUCUUGUAGAGAUACAAUAGUGCCUUCGGGAAUUGUGAUACAGGUGCUGCAUGGCUGUCGUCAGCUCGUGUCGUGAGAUGUUGGGUUAAGUCCCGCAACGAGCGCAACCC
rnacentral:rRNA from 1 species